rnacentral:rRNA from 1 species
CCUACGGGAGGCUGCAGUGGGGAAUAUUGCUCAAUGGGCGAAACCCUGAUCCAGCGAAGCCGCGUGAGUGAAGAAGUCAUUCGUUAUGUAAAGCUUUAUCAGCAGGGAAGUAAAUGACGGUACCUGAGCCAGAAUCCCCGGCUAACUACGUGCCAGCAGCCGCGGUAAUAUGGAGGGGGCCAGCGUUAUCCGGAUUUACUGGGCGUAAAGGGAGCGUAGACGGCAGUGCAAGUCUGGAGUGAAAGGCGGGGGCUCAACCCCCGGACUGCUCUGGAAACUGUACGGCUGGAGUGCAGGAGAGGUAAGUGGAAUUCCUAGUGUAGCGGUGAAAUGCGUAGAUAUUAGGAAGAACACCAGUGGCGAAGGCGGCUUACUGGACUGUAACUGACGUUGAGGCUCGAAAGCGUGGGUAGCAAACAGGAUUAGAUACCCUUGUAGUC